AGAUUAAGUUAUUAAGGGCGCACGGUGGAUGCCUUGGCACUAGAAGCCGAUGAAGGACGUUACUAACGACGAUAUGCUUUGGGGAGCUGUAAGUAAGCUUUGAUCCAGAGAUUUCCGAAUGGGGAAACCCAGCAUGAGUUAUGUCAUGUUAUCGAUAUGUGAAUACAUAGCAUAUCAGAAGGCACACCCGGAGAACUGAAACAUCUUAGUACCCGGAGGAAGAGAAAGAAAAUUCGAUUCCCUUAGUAGCGGCGAGCGAAACGGGAAGAGCCCAAACCAACAAGCUUGCUUGUUGGGGUUGUAGGACACUCUAUACGGAGUUACAAAGGACGACAUUAGACGAAUCAUCUGGAAAGAUGAAUCAAAGAAGGUAAUAAUCCUGUAGUCGAAAAUGUUGUCUCUCUUGAGUGGAUCCUGAGUACGACGGAGCACGUGAAAUUCCGUCGGAAUC
rnacentral:rRNA from 4 species